CCUACGGGCGGCAGCAGUGGGGAAUAUUGCACAAUGGGGGAAACCCUGAUGCAGCGACGCCGCGUGAGUGAAGAAGUAUUUCGGUACGUAAAGCUCUAUCAGCAGGGAAGAAAAUGACGGUACCUGACUAAGAAGCCCCGGCUAACUACGUGCCAGCAGCCGCGGUAAUACGUAGGGGGCAAGCGUUAUCCGGAUUUACUGGGUGUAAAGGGAGCGUAGACGGCAGCGCAAGUCUGGAGUGAAAUCCCAUGGCUUAACCAUGGAACUGCUUUGGAAACUGUGCAGCUAGAGUGCAGGAGAGGUAAGCGGAAUUCCUAGUGUAGCCGUGAAAUGCGUAGAUAUUAGGAAGAACACCAGUGGCGAAGGUGGCUUACUGGACUGUAACUGACGUUGAGGCUCGAAAGCGUGGGGAGCAAACAGGAUUAGAUACCCCAGUAGUC
rnacentral:rRNA from 1 species